UUGAGGAAUAUUGCGCAAUGGAGGCAACUCUGACGCAGCCAUGCCGCGUGCAGGAAGAAGGCGCUACGCGUUGUAAACUGCUUUUAACCGGGAAGAAACCCCAGGACGUGUCCUGGGUUGACGGUACCGGAGGAAUAAGCACCGGCUAACUUCGUGCCAGCAGCCGCGGUAAUACGAAGGGUGCAAGCGUUAUCCGGAUUCAUUGGGUUUAAAGGGUGCGUAGGCGGAGCGUUAAGUCAGUGGUGAAAUCCUGCAGCUUAACUGUAGACUUGCCAUUGAUACUGGCGCUCUUGAGUGCGCUUGAAGUGGGCGGAAUGUGCCGUGUAGCGGUGAAAUGCUUAGAUAUGGCACAGAACACCAAUUGCGAAGGCAGCUCACUAAGGCGAUACUGACGCUGAGGCACGAAAGCGUGGGGAUCGAACAGGAUUAGAAACCCGGGUAGUCC
rnacentral:rRNA from 1 species